rnacentral:rRNA from 1 species
GUGAGNGGCCCGAAGUCCGUGCAGCAACCCGCAAGGGAGCAAGCGGCCGAAGGCGAGCGCAGUGACUGGGGCG